UACAGAGGUCCCAAGCGUUGUUCGGAUUCACUGGGCGUAAAGGGUGCGUAGGCGGUCGGGUAAGUCUGAUGUGAAAUCUCACAGCUUAACUGUGAAACUGCAUUGGAUACUAUCCGGCUAGAGGAAUGGAGGGGAGACUGGAAUACUUGGUGUAGCAGUGAAAUGCGUAGAUAUCAAGUGGAACACCAGUGGCGAAGGCGAGUCUCUGGACAUUUCCUGACGCUGAGGCACGAAGGCCAGGGGAGCAAACGGG
rnacentral:rRNA from 1 species